UCUCCGUCGGUGAACCAGCGGAGGGAUCAUUAUCGGGUUUAUAACUCCCAAACCCUAUGUGAACUUACCACUUGUUGCUUCGGCGCGCGCUUCGGUGCCGCCGAGGACACUUAAACUCUUUGUUUUUAUAAGCAUUUCUGAGUGGCCGAAAGGCAAAAUACAAAUGAAUCAAAACUUUCAACAACGGAUCUCUUGGCUCUC
rnacentral:misc_RNA from 1 species